AAUAUCUCCCUCAGAAAAAUCUGCGGGCAACACUUACCAAUAACUAAUCACAUGGAACCUGAUUCUUAAGACAACACUUCACUCAUAAAAGAAUAAAUAAAUUAGCAUUGUGAUGUAUAAUCAAAUCACACUCCAUGAUCAAUUCGAUCACAGACAACAAUAUAAUCUAACACUGUGAUUUUUAAUUAAACCACAUCCUAUGAGCAAUUCACUCACACCAAGAAACAAAAAGACAUAAUUACAUGAAAAUACUUACACAAGAGUAAUUACACGUAUAUUCACAUAAUUGAUUUUGUAUACUUUUCUACCAAACCAUUAUUAAGAAACUACUAUGUAAUUAUUGAGACGGGGACUGUUUACACUUUCAUUCAAUAGAGUAUUAUCAUAUAAUUAAAAAGCUUUCACCUUUAUUAUUUAUACUAUGUAAAUGCAUAAUACAGUGAAAUCAAAUUCUAUGCCCUUUUAUUAAUAUACCUUACACUAAUUAGGUGCUUCUUACAUAUAUGUUUGCAAAACAAACCUAAAAUUUCUCUGUGUCUUUACUAUUUAACAAGGAUUGAGCAUCGAUUUUAAACUCCUUGGAAAAUAUGCACUUUGUUGACGAGCAAGAAAACCAUGGCAAAACAAAUUUAUUCCUCAAUUUUGUUCACCUUUCUAACAUCCCAAAUUUAUGAACUUUAGAAAUAAUAAUCAAAAGAAAUACUUUAAGGGAUAGUUGUUAUAAUUAAUGGUUAAGGGAUACUCUUGGUCAUUAUCAAUGACAAUUACUUCGUUAUAGGAUUUUAUGAAAAUAAGAUAAUAGGAUCCAGAAGGCCUAACAAACACACACACCACAUGAUUUUAUAGAGAUAGGGAAGGAGAGUUAGAGAGAGAAAGAGGAAAACAACAAAGAAGGAGUUAAAGAGAAUUAAGAGGAAGAGGGAGAAGGAGCACAGAUUAGAGACCCAGUGCCAAGAGCUUUUACACGAGACCUCCAUAGUAACUCGCUAGGCAAGCAAGCACCCAAGGAAGAUAGCUAGUUGCGCGAACAAGUUCCCAAGGGAGUUUGCUGGUUAGCUGAGCAAUGCUCGUUGGGCGAGUGUGGGUAGCAGAAAAACAUAUUUAUAACCCAAAGAGUUGUUCGAGGAUAGUUAAAACUUAUAUUGAACUAUUUGUUCCCUAUGCUUGGUUCCUUAUAUAUAAUCUUUGAUUGUUUGAUGCUAUGAAGUAGGGCUAUUGAUGGUAUUGGUAGUAUAGUUAGUAGUGUAUUUCUAAAAUUGUGUCUUAUGCUUAGGACUAUGUGUAUGCAACGAUGAACCUCUUCUCUAAUAAAAGAUACCUAAGACACUUAAGGUGAUACCUAUGUCUCUUAGCAAGUCAGGUGGGUAGUGUUUCCCAUAGUAAGUUAGAUUGGAGUUUUCCCUAAGUUACAAUAAAGGUCUUCAAGAAAAGAAUUUAGUUUUAAGAAAGGCUUUUAGAAAAAGUAUCCACUCAAUGACAAAGGGUGAUUCCUUCACUGGUACCAGUCAUGUUCGAGAGCCGCACGCUUGGCAUACCACAGUGUGCAAAAGGGUUGGAUCCCCUAGGUCAUCAAUGUGAGAUGUGUUUUUUGGAAGGUUCACAAAAAUGUUUUCUAUAAAAAGUUUUUAUAAAAUAGGAAAUAACAUCUACAUGAGAUAAGAAGGCAUAAAGUAUAGUCAGCUCCUCAAAAUGGGGGAGGAUAAUGCGAGGUCAACUCCUCAGACCAGAGAAGGAUGAUACGAUGUCAACUUCUCAUGGCGAAGGAUAUGAGGCCAUAAAUAGUUAAAAGUUUAACCAUAUAAGAUUGGAGUAAAAUUUAUGUUAAUAAUGUAGUAAUUGUUAAAUAUGGUUUUAUGUUACAAAAAGUGUAUGAUGCAUGAGUGCAUGUUUCUUAUGUUAGAGCAUAUGAGGAAUCAUAAGUGUAGUUAUUAGGUGAGGGAUGUAAGGUGGAUCUAUACUUUAGAUGAGGACGUGUGUAGCUAAAACUACCUUUAGGGGUAGGAGAGGGGUUAUACCAAUAGAAAGUUAAUGUAAAUUUACCUAUAGAGGUAUGUUAGAUGAUAUGCCUUAGAGAAAGAGGUGAUGUAAGUCGAAGUUGGGCAAAUUAGAGUAAAGGAAAGGUUACACACAUUUUCAUCCAAUGUUAUAGUGAAGUUAGACUCUAGUGAGGGGUCAAGGGAAAAAGAAUGAUGUUUUGGUGCCUUAGCCCACUAGUGGACUUAGACUAUGCAUAGGAGGCCAAUUCAAAAUGUUUAAGUAAAAAUCAAGAUAUAACCUUAGGAGAACAACAAUGUUGAUAUUAUGGUGUAAUAGUUAUGAGUUUCAGUAUUAAGAAAACACUAGAGAAGCCAUGAGAGUUAAGAGAAGGAUCUCUAGAAUAAAGAGUCAGCGUAGAGCCCUUAAAGCACUCACUAAGACAUUAUGUCUCAUCCCUUUAGUUUUCAUGUUUUUACAUGUUAGCAAGUGGAUGCUGGUAGAGAAGCUUGGAGCUUGGAGCUUGGAGCUACUUGCUUAAUUGGAGAAAGACUAAUAUAGUUUGUAGUACCCAAUGUAUGGGAUUUCCAUUUAUGUUUAUGUAUCUUUCUUAUGUUUUGUAAGGCAAACAAGUGCCAAGAGCUUUGUAUUAGUUUUCUCAUGUAAUGUAAGUUUAUGUUUUAAUUUCUGCAUAGUUAAACUCUAAUGUACUUAUACACUAAGUUUUAAAAUUUAGUAAUAUAAGGAGACAAAAGUUAAUAUCCUCUAUAA